UACGAAGGGGGCUAGCGUUGCUCGGAAUGACUGGGCGUAAAGGGCGCGUAGGCGGCUCAUACAGUCAGAUGUGAAAUCUCUGAGCUCAACUCAGAAAUGGCAUUGGAUACUAUCUGGCUAGAGGGUCGGAGGGGGGACUGGAAUUCUCGGUGUAGCAGUGAAAUGCGUAGAUAUCGAGAGGAACACCAGUGGCGAAGGCGAGUCCCUGGACGACUCCUGACACUGAGGCACGAAAGCUAGGGGAGCAAACGGG
rnacentral:rRNA from 1 species